rnacentral:rRNA from 1 species
UUCGCGUGUAGCAGUGAAAAAUGUAGAGAUAUGGAGGAACACCAGUGAGGAAGGCGACUUUCUGGUCUGUAAUAGACACUGAGGCGCGAAAGAGUGGGGAGCACACACGAUUAGAUACCCUGGUAGUGCACGCCGUAAAAGAGGAGUGAUAAGUGUUAGAGGGUAUCCGCCCUUUAGUGCUGCAGCUAACGCAUUAAGCAUUCCGCCUGGGGAGUACGGUCGCAAGAGUGAAAAUCAAAGGAAAAGACGGGGGCCCGCACACGCGGUGGAGCACAUGGUUUAAUUUGAAGCAACGCGAAGAACCCUUACAGGUGUUGACACCUCAUUACCCGGUAUAGAGAUUACAUUUCCCUUUGGGGACAGAGGGACAGGUGGUGCAUGGCUGUCGUCAGCU